rnacentral:rRNA from 1 species
CACACUAUCAUUAACUGAAUCCAUAGGUUAAUGAGGCGAACCGGGGGAACUGAAACAUCUAAGUACCCCGAGGAAAAGAAAUCAACCGAGAUUCCCCCAGUAGCGGCGAGCGAACGGGGAGCAGCCCAGAGCCUGAAUCAGUGUGUGUGUUAGUGGAAGCGUCUGGAAAGGCGCGCGAUACAGGGUGACAGCCCCGUACACAAAAAUGCACAUACUGUGAGCUCGAUGAGUAGGGCGGGACACGUGGUAUCCUGUCUGAAUAUGGGGGGACCAUCCUCCAAGGCUAAAUACUCCUGACUGACCGAUAGUGAACCAGUACCGUGAGGGAAAGGCGAAAAGAACCCCGGCGAGGGGAGUGAAAAAGAACCUGAAACCGUGUACGUACAAGCAGUGGGAGCCUCUUAAUGGGGUGACUGCGUACCUUUUGUAUAAUGGGUCAGCGACUUAUAUUCUGUAGCAAGGUUAACCGAAUAGGGGAGCCGAAGGGAAACCGAGUCUUAACUGGGCGUUAAGUUGCAGGGUAUAGACCCGAAACCCGGUGAUCUAGCCAUGGGCAGGUUGAAGGUUGGGUAACACUAACUGGAGGACCGAACCGACUAAUGUUGAAAAAUUAGCGGAUGACUUGUGGCUGGGGGUGAAAGGCCAAUCAAACCGGGAGAUAGCUGGUUCUCCCCGAAAGCUAUUUAGGUAGCGCCUCGUGAAUUCAUCUCCGGGGGUAGAGCACUGUUUCGGCAAGGGGGUCAUCCCGACUUACCAACCCGAUGCAAACUGCGAAUACCGGAGAAUGUUAUCACGGGAGACACACGGCGGGUGCUAACGUCCGUCGUGAAGAGGGAAACAACCCAGACCGCCAGCUAAGGUCCCAAAGUCAUGGUUAAGUGGGAAACGAUGUGGGAAGGCCCAGACAGCCAGGAUGUUGGCUUAGAAGCAGCCAUCAUUUAAAGAAAGCGUAAUAGCUCACUGGUCGAGUCGGCCUGCGCGGAAGAUGUAACGGGGCUAAACCAUGCACCGAAGCUGCGGCAGCGACACUGUGUGUUGUUGGGUAGGGGAGCGUUCUGUAAGCCUGUGAAGGUGUGCUGUGAGGCAUGCUGGAGGUAUCAGAAGUGCGAAUGCUGACAUAAGUAACGAUAAAGCGGGUGAAAAGCCCGCUCGCCGGAAGACCAAGGGUUCCUGUCCAACGUUAAUCGGGGCAGGGUGAGUCGACCCCUAAGGCGAGGCCGAAAGGCGUAGUCGAUGGGAAACAGGUUAAUAUUCCUGUACUUGGUGUUACUGCGAAGGGGGGACGGAGAAGGCUAUGUUGGCCGGGCGACGGUUGUCCCGGUUUAAGCGUGUAGGCUGAUUUUCCAGGCAAAUCCGGAAAACUAAGGCUGAGGCGUGAUGACGAGGCACUACGGUGCUGAAGCAACAAAUGCCCUGCUUCCAGGAAAAGCCUCUAAGCAUCAGGUAACAUCAAAUCGUACCCCAAACCGACACAGGUGGUCAGGUAGAGAAUACCAAGGCGCUUGAGAGAACUCGGGUGAAGGAACUAGGCAAAAUGGUGCCGUAACUUCGGGAGAAGGCACGCUGAUAUGUAGGUGAAGUCCCUCGCGGAUGGAGCUGAAAUCAGUCGAAGAUACCAGCUGGCUGCAACUGUUUAUUAAAAACACAGCACUGUGCAAACACGAAAGUGGACGUAUACGGUGUGACGCCUGCCCGGUGCCGGAAGGUUAAUUGAUGGGGUUAGCGGUAACGCGAAGCUCUUGAUCGAAGCCCCGGUAAACGGCGGCCGUAACUAUAACGGUCCUAAGGUAGCGAAAUUCCUUGUCGGGUAAGUUCCGACCUGCACGAAUGGCGUAAUGAUGGCCAGGCUGUCUCCACCCGAGACUCAGUGAAAUUGAACUCGCUGUGAAGAUGCAGUGUACCCGCGGCAAGACGGAAAGACCCCGUGAACCUUUACUAUAGCUUGACACUGAACAUUGAGCCUUGAUGUGUAGGAUAGGUGGGAGGCUUUGAAGUGUGGACGCCAGUCUGCAUGGAGCCGGCCUUGAAAUACCACCCUUUAAUGUUUGAUGUUCUAACGUUGGCCCCUGAUCGGGGUUGCGGACAGUGUCUGGUGGGUAGUUUGACUGGGGCGGUCUCCUCCUAAAGAGUAACGGAGGAGCACGAAGGUUGGCUAAUCCUGGUCGGACAUCAGGAGGUUAGUGCAAUGGCAUAAGCCAGCUUGACUGCGAGCGUGACGGCGCGAGCAGGUGCGAAAGCAGGUCAUAGUGAUCCGGUGGUUCUGAAUGGAAGGGCCAUCGCUCAACGGAUAAAAGGUACUCCGGGGAUAACAGGCUGAUACCGCCCAAGAGUUCAUAUCGACGGCGGUGUUUGGCACCUCGAUGUCGGCUCAUCACAUCCUGGGGCUGAAGUAGGUCCCAAGGGUAUGGCUGUUCGCCAUUUAAAGUGGUACGCGAGCUGGGUUUAGAACGUCGUGAGACAGUUCGGUCCCUAUCUGCCGUGGGCGCUGGAGAACUGAGGGGGGCUGCUCCUAGUACGAGAGGACCGGAGUGGACGCAUCACUGGUGUUCGGGUUGUCAUGCCAAUGGCACUGCCCGGUAGCUAAAUGCGGAAGAGAUAAGUGCUGAAAGCAUCUAAGCACGAAACUUGCCCCGAGAUGAGUUCUCCCUGACUCCUUGAGAGUCCUGAAGGAACGUUGAAGACGACGACGUUGAUAGGCCGGGUGUGUAAGCGCAGCGAUGCGUUGAGCUAACCGGUACUAAUGAACCGUGAGGCUUAACCUU